ensembl:miRNA
UGGUGCAAAAGUAAUUGCGGUUUUUGCCAUUAAAAGUAAUUAUAUAAAUUGCAAUUACUUUUGCACC